CCUACGGGUGACAGCAGUGGGGAAUAUUGGACAAUGGGGGGAACCCUGAUCCAGCGACGCCGCGUGAGUGAAGAAGUAUUUCGGUAUGUAAAGCUCUAUCAGCAGGGAAGAAAGAAAUGACGGUACCUGACUAAGAAGCCCCGGCCAACUACGUGGCAGCAGCCGCGGUAAUACGUAGGGGGCAAGCGUUAUCCGGAUUUACUGGGUGUAAAGGGAGCGUAGACGGCGAUGCAAGUCUGAGGUGAAAGGCGGGGGCCCAACCCCCGGACUGCUAUGGAAACUGUAUGGCUGGAGUGAAGGAGGGGUAAGUGGAAUUCCUAGUGUAGCAGUGAAAUGCGUAGAUAGUAGAAGGAACACCAGUGGCGAAGGCGGCUUACUGGACCGUAACUGACGUUGAGGCUCGAAAGCGUAGGGAGCAAACAGGAUUAGAUACCCUAGUAGUC
rnacentral:rRNA from 1 species